CUACCAAAAGCUAAUUUUUUUGUGGGGAAAGCUUUCUAAAUAACCUUUACCAAUUUGGGCUACUUGGAAGAGUAAAGGAAAGACCACACUCCAGCGGGUUAUACCAAUAGUUCAGUACUAUUUUGUGGCCUACAUU
ensembl:snoRNA